rnacentral:tRNA from 1 species
GCUCAGUUGGUUAAGUGACUGACUCUUGGUUUCAGCUCAGGUCAUUAUCUCACGACUUUGUGGGUUCAAGCCCCACACUGGGCU